UAGUAACUGCGAGUGAAGCGGGAAAAGCUCAAAUUUAAAAUCUGGCAGCUUUGCUGUCCGAGUUGUAAUCUAGAGAAGUGCUAUCCGCGCUGGACCGUGUACAAGUCUCCUGGAAUGGAGCGUCAUAGAGGGUGAGAAUCCCGUCUUUGACACGGACUACCAGGGCUUAUGUGAUGUGCUCUCAAAGAGUCGAGUUGUUUGGGAAUGCAGCUCUAAAUGGGUGGUAAAUUCCAUCUAAAGCUAAAUAUUGGCGAGAGACCGAUAGCGAACAAGUACCGUGAGGGAAAGAUGAAAAGAACUUUGGAAAGAGAGUUAAACAGUACGUGAAAUUGUUGAAAGGGAAACGCUUGAAGUCAGACACGUUGUUCAGGGAUCAACCUUGCUCUUUUGCUUGGUGUACUUCCUGACUUAACGGGUCAGCAUCARUUUUGACUGAUGGAUAAAGUUCAUUGGAAUGUAGCAUCCUUUGGAUGUGUUAUAGACUUUGUUCGUAUACAUCAGUUGGGAUUGAGGAACUCAGCACGCCGCAAGGCCGGGUUUUUAACCACGUUCGUGCUUAGGAUGCUGGCAUAAUGGCUUUAAUCGACCCGUCUUGAAACACGGACCAAGGAGUCUAACAUGCAUGCGAGUGUUUGGGUGGAAAACCCGAGCGCGUAAUGAAAGUGAAAAUUGAGAUCCCUGUCGUGGGGAGCAUCGAUGCCCGGACCAGACCUUUUGUGACGGAUCCGCGGUUGAGCAUGUAUGCUAGGACCCGAAAGAUGGUGAACUAUGCCUGAAUAGGGUGAAGCCAGAGGAAACUCUGGUGGAGGCUCGUAGCGAUUCUGACGUGCAAAUCGAUCGUCGAAUUUGGGUAUAG
rnacentral:rRNA from 1 species